CAGCCGCACGGUAAUACGUAGGGUGCGAGCGUUAAUCGGAACUACUGGGCGUAAAGCGUGCGCAGGCGGUUUUGUAAGACAGGCGUGAAAUCCCCGGGCUCAACCUGGGAAUGGCGCUUGUGACUGCAAAGCUAGAGUGCGGCAGAGGGGGAUGGAAUUCCGCGUGUAGCAGUGAAAUGCGUAGAUAUGCGGAGGAACACCGAUGGCGAAGGCAAUCCCCUGGGCCUGCACUGACGCUCAUGCACGAAAGCGUGGGGAGCGAACAGGAUUAGAUACCCGCGUAGUCCCUGUCUCUUAUACA
rnacentral:rRNA from 1 species